GACGUGUUUACGUCGAGGAAGGAAACCUUGUCGCUUCUCAGAAGUUGAGCUUCAGUCGUGAACAGGCUCCAGUUUAUUAACUCGACAAAUGGGAGGGAAGUCGGACUGGUCGCGCUGGAACAGAAUUGUCAGCAGCGAGUCCGAGAUACAGACAGCCUCGAAGACACAGCGCCCUCUGGGGAACAGUGAGGGUUGCGAGCGCCUGUUCCCCCGUCAACACUCCGCAGCUCUGCAAAAUACUUUGAAUUCGAGGGUUUACGUUGAUCAAAAUCCGAGCGAGACCGGCGAUCUAACGGCACUCAGACGGGAAAAGUAAACACAGACGCCUGAUUCUCGUGAGCGCCUCCUUAAUGCACCUGCUAAGAUGUGGUGUGCGUGCGUGCGUGCGCGCGUGCGUUUAUGGCGUGGGAAAUGUCUCCAGACAUGUGUUUGGUUUUCUCUCUCACAGCUGGUCAGGAGGCACGUGGGCUGUUAAAGGGAAGGUGGACAAGAGGUAAAACAUUUGAACAAGGCCCACAAUUAAACUUUGUUUGAGUCCAGUUCUCAUACUAUUAUGAAAAUGAUAGACAGAAACAUACAAACAUACAUACAUAUAUACAGUGACAUCGAUCAACCCAUUCCAUAUGAUCAUUUUUUCUCCCUGUGUAAAACACAUUCCUCUUGCUCAAACGUAACCCUGUAAACACUGUCAAGAAAUUAAAUAAGUACAAAUCCUA